GAUGAACGCUGGCGGCGUGCUUAACACAUGCAAGUCGAACGGAAAGGCCGAAGCUUGCUUCGGUACUCGAGUGGCGAACGGGUGAGUAACACGUGGGUGAUCUGCCCUGUACUUCGGGAUAAGCUUGGGAAACUGGGUCUAAUACCGGAUAUGACGAUCUCUUGGAUGGGGUUGUGGAAAGCUUUUGCGGUAUGGGAUGAGCUCGCGGCCUAUCAGCUUGUUGGUGGGGUAAUGGCCUACCAAGGCGUCGACGGGUAGCCGGCCUGCGAGGGGGUACGGCCACAGUGGGACUGAGAUACGGCCCAGACUCCGACGGGAGGCAGUAGUGGGGAAUAUUGCACAAUGGGCGCAAGCCUGAUGCAGCGACGCCGCGUGGGGGAUGACGGCCUUCGGGUUGUAAACUCCUUUCGCAAUCGACGAAGCCUUUUGGUGACGGUAGGUUGAGAAGAAGCACCGGCUAACUACGUG
rnacentral:rRNA from 1 species